CACAGAUAUGUGUUGAGCAGGCUUU
rnacentral:misc_RNA from 1 species